rnacentral:rRNA from 1 species
UUGGUUAAAAUGAUUCGUCGCCAUAGGAUGGGACUGCGGCCUAUCAGCUUGUUGGUGAGGUAAUGGCCCACCAAGGCGAUUACAGGUACGGGCUCUGAGAGGAGAAGCCCGGAGAUGGGUACUGAGACACGGACCCAGGCCCUAUGGGGCGCAGCAGGCGAGAAAACUUCGCAAUGUGCGAAAGCACGACAAGGUUAAUCCGAGUGAUUUCUGCUAAAGAAAUCUUUUGUCAGUCAUAAAACCACUGGCGAAUAAGGGGUGGGCAAGUUCUGGUGUCAGCCGCCGCGGUAAAACCAGCACCUCAAGUGGUCAGGAUGAUUAUUGGGCCUAAAGCAUCCGUAGCCGGCUUUGUUAGUUUUCGGUUAAAUCCAUGUGCUCAACGCAUGGGCUGCCGAAAAUACUGCAUGGCUAGGGAGUGGGAGAGGUAGACGGUACUCAGUAGGAAGGGGUAAAAUCCUUUGAUCUAUUGAUGACCACCUGUGGCGAAGGCGGUCUACCAGAACACGUUCGACGGUGAGGGAUGAAAGCUGGGGGAGCAAACCGGAUUAGAUACCCGGGUAGUCCCAGCUGUAAACGAUGCAGACUCGACGAUGCAUUGGCAUAAUAGCCAGUGCAGUGUCGCAGGGAAGCCGUUAAGUCUGCCGCCUGGGAAGUACGUACGCAAGUAUGAAACUUAAAGGAAUUGGCGGGGGAGCACCACAAGGGGUGAAGCCUGCGGUUCAAUUGGAGUCAACGCCGGA